CAGCAGUAGCCACGGUAAUACGGAGGGGGCUAGCGUUGUUCGGAAUUACUGGGCGUAAAGCGCACGUAGGCGGCUUGGUAAGUUAGAGGUGAAAGCCUGGAGCUCAACUCCAGAAUUGCCUUUAAGACUGCCGAGCUAGCAGGUGAGAGAGGUAAGUGGAAUUCCGAGUGUAGAGGUGAAAUUCGUAGAUAUUCGGAAGAACACCAGUGGCGAAGGCGGCUUACUGGCUCAUACUGGACGCUGAGGUGCGAAAGCGUGGGGAGCAAACAGGAUUAGAUACCCCUGUAGUCCCUGUCUCUUAUAA
rnacentral:rRNA from 1 species